GAAAUCCGGCUCCUUGGACGGCGCUCCCGGCCGCGGCGGAGCCCAGCAGAGAGGGAGCCGGAAAGGCCUCCGAGCCAUCCAAGGGCUCAGUUGUUCCAGUUGAGAAUUGAGUUAUUUUUAUGUGAUUUUAAAAUAAAACAUAUUCCGGGGGAGAGGAGGAGAUCUGGAAUCUGGCUGGCUGGAGUCAUCCCCGACCGAGCCGCGUGAGUUCCCCGAGGCCCGGCAGGCGGGACGGCCGGAGGGCAGAGGAGCAAGGGUUCAAACCCAGGCUUUGCCAGGUGCUAGCGUGCGCCUCCCCCCACCCCGGGGUGGGGAAUGACCUCCCGAUCCGCGUGCAGCACGCCGACGGAGCGUGGCGGCCGCACCCGUGUGACCGAGAUUAGAUGAGGUCCCACGCUCCAGGCACUCGGCAGGGCGCCUCGCACGAGGUGCCCCUGGACUGGAGACGCGACCUCCUCCCUCUGACCCUCUGACCUGAGGGCAGGGAGCUUCCUGCUGCUCACCUGUAGCUUGUCUCCACGAAGCCAAGGAACCAUAAGCUCCAGGGCCCUCGACUAGCACGAGAAGGACCCUAACAACAUACCCACAUUUUUGCAGAAUUUGCACAACAGAAAAUAUCUUCAAUCCGAUCAGUUAAAAUCACGGUCUACGUGGACUCUGAGGCCCUGCCCAUCACACGGCUCCUGUGUAAGGUGACGGCUGCCAUCCCGAGGUGCAAGUCCAGCAACACUCCUUCCAAUCACUGCUCCAAUCUGUCUGCUGUGCAGGAUCACCAGGGAUAAGACACCAACACGACCCGAGUGCCUGCCGGAAACAUGUGGGCAGCGGGGGUGGCGGUGGGGUGGAACGUAUGGAAGCAGAAGCCAGCCCACGGAAAAUCACUCCGACCCCCAGACACAAGGCGGAAGCAGAGAACUUGAUUCCCUUCCACGUUGAGUCAAAACAAAAAGUAUCCCCAGUCGGAAAUAAAUAUACAGUUCUAGAUGCCCCA